UAAGGGGAGGCCAAUUCCUAAGGCUCCUCACCCCCUCAAGCUCCCACUCUCAGAGCUUCUCAUAUUCAUUAUAGAGGCUCUCUUUCUCCCCCUCAGAAAUACAAUAUCAGUGUGGACGUAGCCCAAACCUUGGGGUGAACCACGAUACAUCUUGUGUUAUUUACAUUACUUGCAGAUUCACGGUCGGAUUUACGUUGUUCCAAGACUUUCGGUUUUGUGCAUCAACAAAUCCCACAAGGAAAAGCACAGCUGGGCCACUCCAAUUCCAAUUAAGCAUCAAACUCGAAUUAAUUGACAUACACUGCACCUUCAUAUUUAGCAUUACUGAGUCUAUAGCCUCUAUACUAACAAUACUCGCAGUCUAACAUCAAUUUUCAUACGUACCUCUACAUUGUGAAUCAUCUCCUAGUCAAUUUUGCAAAAUAUGGAUCAUGAGCGAAAGUUACCUUGAUAAAUCUAACAUUUUAAAUCGUGGCUUGUCCCACCAUUCAAACCUUUGGUAUGCAGCCAAGGGAUGCACACUAAAACUAGCCACCACGCAAUGACGAUAAUUUCGUGUGGGUUGAAAUUUCCUCUGGUCCAACUUUGUCUUGUGUCUUCACAUGUUACUCAAUGUUCUCUUUCUUCAAUGGUGUUUCUUCCUAUGUUUGGUUCUCUAAAUAGAAUAACGGGACAAUUCGGAAUGGUCUAAGGUCUGCAACUUCAAACCCUCCUCCCAGUGUAGUUUGACCAAUGUAAAUCUAUCCCAUUUGAAUGCAAGGUCUCAUCACCAAUAAUAUAGAUCGAGAAUAGGGGUCUCCAAACCCAACUUUUGAUGUGCAUACUCUGCAUGAUUCACUAAUCAUGGAACUCACUUCUGAAUAAAAGCACUUGAAAAGGUUUAGAUCAUAUUGUAUCCAAGUAUGGAAAGAUAGUCGAGUCAGCAUAAGCUAGAUAUUCAAUCCUUUGACAAGCUCCAAAGAAUCUAAUUCAAUAAUGAUUGACAAGUAAUUUCUUUCCUGGCCAAUUCAUGAAACAGAAACAGUUUAGAAGUUCCAUCCAAAACGUAAUAUGGACUACACACAUUCUAUUAUGAACUCAGAUAAGAAUAUUCUUCAUGCAGAAUUUAAACGCGCUGAAAUAUUUUUCUUUGUCAAAUUAUAAAGCGAUAGAAGAUUGGUAAGCUCAAUCUCUUUAACUUGUUAUACGAAAAUAUGUACUAAUAGAAUUUGUAUUUCAUGCAAAAUCGUAAAAGAGACAGAGGAAAUAAAUAGUAAAAGAGAUAAAGGAAAUAAACUCUUCUCUAUAUUUGGUAUGAAUUCGUGCCCCCAAUGCAUAACCGGAAAUAUUUGCUCCUCGCUUUGUAUAAAUGAUUUUCAACCAGUGACUGAAAGCUUCAGUACAAUCCUUCUGUAAUUAUAAGUGCACCUGUCACCGUGGUUUGGUCUUGGCAGCCACAAUGAGCAUGUCGAGCAUCCGACUUUGGGCUCUUUCUGGUGUAACAUGACGAUGCGGUAGCUUAGCUUCGUAGGACCCUACCCCCUAAUACAAUAGGACCUUGUGCGUUGCAGUUCGGGAUCGUUUCCCCGAGCUAGAAGUGAAACUACAUCAGUACCUCCAAAAUUCAAGUGGUAAAUAUAUUUGACAAAAUAAAAGGGAGAUAACUGGAGUCCAAGAUUUCUACAUAAAAGUGCUUUCAUGAACCUCCAAAGCCCAAAGGAUUACAACAAUCAUUUCCCACCUUGUGUUAUGGCAAGA
rnacentral:lncRNA from 1 species